rnacentral:rRNA from 1 species
GACGAACCACACAAACGUUAUUCGGAAUUACUGGGCUUAAAGGGUGCGUAGGCGGCGCGGAAAGUUGGGUGUGAAAUCCCUCGGCUCAACCGAGGAACUGCGCUCAAUACUACCGUGCUCGAGGGAGACAGAGGUGAGCGGAACUUAGGGUGGAGCGGUGAAAUGCGUAGAGAUCCGGAGGAACACCAAAGGCGAAGGCAGUGUCCUGGGGAGUACCUGACGCUCAGGUGCGAAAGCCAGGGGAGCGAACGGG